AAAAAGAUAAGCUAAUUAAGCUAGUGGGCUCAUACCCCACCUAUGGGAACUUCAACUUCUCUCUUUUUA
rnacentral:tRNA from 2 species